AUGUGAUCGUCUCUCGCAUAUCAAUAAGCGGAGGAAAAGAAACUAACAAGGAUUCCCCUAGUAACGGCGAGUGAAGCGGGAAGAGCUCAAAUUUGAAAUCUUAAAGGGUUUCCCUUUACGAAUUGUAGUUUAAAGAAGUGUUUUCUGUUGAGGUUUUGGUAAAAGUUCUUUGGAAUAGGACAUCAUAGAGGGUGAGAAUCCCGUAUUUGACCUUUACUUUCAACUUUGUGAUACACUUUCAAAGAGUCGGAUUGUUUGGGAAUGCAGUCCAAAAUGGGUGGUAAAUUUCAUCUAAAGCUAAAUAUUGGCGAGAGACCGAUAGCGAACAAGUACCGUGAGGGAAAGAUGAAAAGAACUUUGAAAAGAGAGUUAAACAGUACGUGAAAUUGUCAAAAGGGAAGCGUUUGACACCAGUGUUGUUUUUCUGAAAAUCAAUUAAAGAACUGUUUAUGCUAAGUUGUUUAGACUUUAUCAGCUAACUGUUUAGUUUUGAGCUUUUCUUUAAUGCACUUUUCAGUUAACAAGUCAACAUCAAUUUCUUUUGCUGUAAAAAAGCUUGAGGAAGGUGGCUUGAGAUUCGUCUUAAGUGUUUAUAGCCUCUUGCCUAUGCAGUCGGAGAGAUUGAGGUCUGCAGCGUAGAUCCUUCGGGGCUAAAUGCAUUUGUGCUAAGUUAUAGCAUUUUAUAGACAACUUAGUUGACUAUGAUUUGUCUUGUAGCUUACUCGCUUAUGUUAUUUUACCUACGCUUAGGAUGUUGACACACGCGCGUGCUCG
rnacentral:rRNA from 1 species